GUGCCAGCAGCCGCGGUAAAACGUAGGAGGCAAGCGUUAUCCGGAGUUACUGGGCGUAAAGAGUGCGUAGGCGGACCUGUAAGUGGGUGGUGAAAGCGCCCGGCUAAACCGGGCGAGGUUCAUUCAGACUGCAGGUCUAGAGGCGGAUAGAGGGGUGCGGAAUUCCGGGUGUAGCGGUGAAAUGUGUAGAGAUCCGGAGGAACACCAGUGGUGCAAACGGCGCCCUGGGUCCGAACUGACGCUGAAGCACGAAAGCGUGGGGAGCGAACGGGAUUAGAAACCCCGGUAGUCC
rnacentral:rRNA from 1 species